UGGAUAAGGAGGCGUGCGGAGGUGGGUGGGACUGAGGGUUAGUACCAGGUGGAGCCUUCAUCCGGUACUAAAGGCCCUCAGGCACAUUAGUACCGGGUUGAGACUCCACCCGGUACUAAUGGGUGACCUUUAGUACCCGUUGGAGUCCCCAACCGGUACUAAAGGAGGUCACGGGGGGCUUCUGGGGAACUAGCCAUUAGACCCGGUACUAAUGCUCACAUUAGUAUCGGGUCAAAAACCAACCAGUACUAAGGGUCAAGACUAAUGCUCAGUUUUCCAUUAGUGUAAGCUGGUGUUAGGUCAUGUAGUUGAUGAACGAAUGAAGUCUGUACUCUUAUACUCCC
rnacentral:lncRNA from 1 species